GCUUAACACAUGCAAGUCGAACGAUGAAGCCCAGCUUGCUGGGUGGAUUAGUGGCGAACGGGUGAGUAACACGUGAGUAACCUGCCCUUGACUCUGGGAUAAGCGUUGGAAACGACGUCUAAUACCGGAUACGAGCUUCCACCGCAUGGUGAGUUGCUGGAAAGAAUUUUGGUCAAGGAUGGACUCGCGGCCUAUCAGCUUGUUGGUGAGGUAACGGCUCACCAAGGCGACGACGGGUAGCCGGCCUGAGAGGGUGACCGGCCACACUGGGACUGAGACACGGCCCAGACUCCUACGGGAGGCAGCAGUGGGGAAUAUUGCACAAUGGGCGAAAGCCUGAUGCAGCAACGCCGCGUGAGGGACGACGGCCUUCGGGUUGUAAACCUCUUUUAGCAGGGAAGAAGCGAAAGUGACGGUACCUGCAGAAAAAGCACCGGCUAACUACGUGCCAGCAGCCGCGGUAAUACGUAGGGUGCAAGCGUUGUCCGGAAUUAUUGGGCGUAAAGAGCUCGUAGGCGGUUUGUCGCGUCUGCUGUGAAAUCCCGAGGCUCAACCUCGGGUCUGCAGUGGGUACGGGCAGACUAGAGUGCGGUAGGGGAGAUUGGAAUUCCUGGUGUAGCGGUGGAAUGCGCAGAUAUCAGGAGGAACACCGAUGGCGAAGGCAGAUCUCUGGGCCGCUACUGACGCUGAGGAGCGAAAGGGUGGGGAGCAAACAGGCUUAGAUACCCUGGUAGUCCACCCCGUAAACGUUGGGCGCUAGAUGUGGGGACCAUUCCACGGUUUCCGUGUCGUAGCUAACGCAUUAAGCGCCCCGCCUGGGGAGUACGGCCGCAAGGCUAAAACUCAAAGGAAUUGACGGGGGCCCGCACAAGCGGCGGAGCAUGCGGAUUAAUUCGAUGCAACGCGAAGAACCUUACCAAGGCUUGACAUAUACGAGAACGGGCCAGAAAUGGUCAACUCUUUGGACACUCGUAAACAGGUGGUGCAUGGUUGUCGUCAGCUCGUGUCGUGAGAUGUUGGGUUAAGUCCCGCAACGAGCGCAACCCUCGUUCUAUGUUGCCAGCACGUAAUGGUGGGAACUCAUGGGAUACUGCCGGGGUCAACUCGGAGGAAGGUGGGGACGACGUCAAAUCAUCAUGCCCCUUAUGUCUUGGGCUUCACGCAUGCUACAAUGGCCAGUACAAAGGGCUGCAAUACCGUAAGGUGGAGCGAAUCCCAAAAAGCUGGUCCCAGUUCGGAUUGAGGUCUGCAACUCGACCUCAUGAAGUCGGAGUCGCUAGUAAUCGCAGAUCAGCAACGCUGCGGUGAAUACGUUCCCGGGCCUUGUACACACCGCCCGUCAAGUCAUGAAAGUCGGUAACACCCGAAGCCAGUGGCCUAACCGCAAGGAUGGAGCUGUCUAAGGUGGGAUCGGUAA
rnacentral:rRNA from 1 species